rnacentral:rRNA from 1 species
GUCUAUGGCCAUACCACCCUGAACACACCCAAUCUCAUCUGAUCUCAUAAGCUAAGCAGGGUUGGGCCUGGUUAGUACUUGGAUGGGAAACAUUCAGCAGAAAAGUGUAACCAAAGAUA